rnacentral:lncRNA from 1 species
GGAAGUCCAACUCCCUGCUCUCUGGCCUGACUUGGGCUGCAAAAGGGGUUUGGAGUGGUCAGGGGCCUGGGAACCAGGAGCUCAGGCUUUGGUCUCCGGAGAGAUGAAAAGGAUGCUGUUGUUUGAUUUAUCUUUCUUGAGAUCAUUAAGCUUGGGAUGCCUGAGCUGAUCCCAGUGGGGCAGAUUUUUCAGGAUAAUGGGAGGCUCGCUCAGGGUUCUGGCAAAGCUUUACACACACCCUUUCUACACCCCCCCUUCCCUACCACCAUCCCCAGAAGCCCCUUUCCUUUCCUAAAAUUGAGCUAGGACCCAAUUCUGAGUUUUUCUCGCCCAUUUCUUUGUCUCUUGUAGGAUUUUGUGGAGCCACUCGACAGAUGAGAAUCUCAUUUCGAGGCUCCUCAGAAGGCGAACUGCACCCCCUCCCUCAAGCCUCUUCUCCAGUCUCAUGGUUUUCAUGACCACUAGGGGAAGACGACGAAUUCCAAGGUGGAGAGGAAAGAGAAGAGAAGGAAAUAAUGAAAAUAGUAACACCUCCUUGCACUUUUAACAAAACGCUUUUUUCUACAUUAUUACACUGGAUUCCAAUUACAGCCCUGGAAGAGAGAGGUGCUGUUGUAGGCAUGCAGUGGUAUGGUGUACAGAAUGGGACACAGGUACAUGCCUGGGAAGGUGGCCAGUUAAAGCCCCUGAGGUGAAACCUGAAUGAUGUGAAGAGGUCAUGUGGAGUGAGAACAUUCUACUGAGACAGAGGUAACAGCCAGUGCAAAGGCCCUGGGGCAGAAUGAAGGCCUGAUAUGUUCGACAGGUUUAUAGUUUGUUGCUCUAUGUAGAGCAAAUUACAAGGGCUCAAGCGUGGACGUUGGGAGACUGGUUAGGUUAUUGCUAAGGUCCAG